UGAACGCUAGCGGCAGGCUUAACACAUGCAAGUCGAGGGGUAUGGUAGCAAUACCAGAGACCGGCGCACGGGUGCGUAACGCGUAUGCAAUCUACCUUUCACAGAGGGAUAGCCCAGAGAAAUUUGGAUUAAUACCUCAUAGUAUUAUAGUAUGGCAUCAUAUUAUAAUUAAAGUCACAACGGUGAAAGAUGAGCAUGCGUCCCAUUAGCUAGUUGGUAUGGUAACGGCAUACCAAGGCUACGAUGGGUAGGGGUCCUGAGAGGGAGAUCCCCCACACUGGUACUGAGACACGGACCAGACUCCUACGGGAGGCAGCAGUGAGGAAUAUUGGACAAUGGGCGCAAGCCUGAUCCAGCCAUGCCGCGUGCAGGAUGACGGUCCUAUGGAUUGUAAACUGCUUUUGCGCAGGAAGAAACAACAUUACGUGUAAUGUCUUGACGGUACUGUGAGAAUAAGGAUCGGCUA
rnacentral:rRNA from 1 species